CAAGCCUCAAUGCCUUAGACUGUGUAGCUACAGCCCCUGGAUGGCGGUCUCAUGCGAGCCAGUACAUCAACUUCAACUUUCCUCAUUUUCCAAAUACACGAAGCCUUCAUUUUCACACAUGAUUAAUAACAAAUGGACUGUUAUCUUCUUGAGGACGGCUUGCCAAAUACGACAGGAGACGCUACAAAUCGUUCCCUCUUUAAGUGAAGCCCUCCUGUCGUCCCAUUGGUCAGAAUCUUGCCACAACCACUCUCUAUCCAGACAGUGUGUGUCCAGGCCUGAGGUUCGAGCGAGUUGUUCAGAGGCCCAAGGUUGCAGACAACACACUGAGUCCCAGAGCUGUUUAAGACCGUGGUCCACUUGGGAGCCCUAGAUGAGUAUUUAAUUCUCAGACUGUGCAUGUGAGCCAAGAGAAGAGCGAGUUUGAUAGACUCCAUUAUCCAUGCAAAUGAGUUAUGGCAGGGUCCAGUGGCUGCUCUGAUGAAGGGGGCGUCCGAAUUUAUGGCUGUGCCAAGUUCACAACUUUGACUUCGAUACAGAGCAGACCCCUAAUGAGAGAGAGAGAGAUAGAGACUGACACCCAUUCAGGUACACUCUUAGUGUGUGUGUUUUAUGUGUCAUCUAUUUCUUAAUAUGACAGAAUGGGAAUAAAAUGAGCAACAUAUUAUAUAUAGAAUAUUAAAUUACAUAUUAUAUGAUAGAAUAUUAAAUUACAUUUUGUGGUUACUAAAAUAAAUAUAUAACCACAAUAAAUAUAAAUAUAAAAUAAAAUAUAAAAUAAAUAUAUAACCACAAAAUGUAAUUUAAUAUUCUAUGAUUGUAUCUGAUAUUGGUAAAUUAUGUUUAUGUGUCUUUAUAUAUAGAGUAUAUACAUACAUUAUACUUAUACAUCUUUAACAGACAUAUUCUUUUUUUUUUUUUUAAUUUAUUUAUUUUAUUUAUGGGGAUUGGCAUGUUACUCUUGUGUUUCAGCAUUCCUGCAGCAGUCUGUAAUGAUGUUUUCUAUUUCUGUUUCAGAGCCAUUCUCACAUAGACAUGGACCACUAAUGGGCAUAUCUAUAUUGGGAUGUUUUGUAUCGGACUACCAAAGUAUGUACGGGUGUAUGUGUUGUGUGUGUGUGUGAGUGUGAGUGUGAUUGUGAUUGUGUGUGUGUGUGCUGUUUGUUUGAGGGCUCUUGGGAAUAGAGAGUGAGGGAAACAGUGAAUAAAUAGCACACACAGCUAGCCUCCCUCCUGUGUCUCAUCGCUCAGAUCUGAUUGCAACAUAAACAUGGCGUCUCAAUCCAGACUGCCCUUUCUAAACGAUUUUUCACACAGCCAAACAAAGGGCUAGUGAAAGCGUAAUGACCUACACAUCAAAACACUCGCAUGCACAAACACACACACAAGCUGAGCGGUCUCAAAGCGGACCUCCUUGAGAGCUGACACAUUUUACAAUGAUGGCAGGACUACACACUCAUGAAUAUACAAGCCUCUAUCAAUUAAUAAUGAAUUAAACAUGUGCUUUGUUAGAACCAUGAAGGGCUAGUCUGGACCCACACUGAAGAGCGAUAAUAGCUGAUUUUUGCACUUUAUUGUAGGUCUUUCACUAUAGUUGUACAUUUUCCUCAUAUCUCUAUUUACAGUUCAGUUUUUAUUUGUAUGUGUCUUAAUUAACUGUGUUCCCCUUGUUUAACUCCUGAGCAAGUUGAUUUUGUCACCAAUCACCUGUUGAUACCUGGUAGGAUGAAAUCAUGCCGGACCCCUUCAGGGCAACUCCUUUAUUGCCUAGGAGACAUCUGGUAACUCAGUGGUGGGGAUUUUUAGAUGAGUCCGGGCUGCUCUACAUUAGAAGCUAAAAAUAUACCCGGUCUUCUGAAGUUGUGCCACAGGAAGACAGUAAACCCUUUCAUUCUUUCCACCCCCUUUUUUUAAACAGUCAACAAAUCCGUCAUAUCUGGAGAACAGGUGGCACUUCCACUGUGUCCCACAGUGUUGAAACUCAACUUAACAUUUCUUAACAUCACAGAGAUGCUGCUAACGCUCCACGUGCCCUGUGUUGUAUUUUUAGAAUGGAGAGCUGUGCUUUUCUUGGAAAACUGACUGAAGAGAUUUACUAGGAUGAAAAUGAGGAUGACUCCGGUCAGAUGAGUUAGCUAUGAAAGCCAAAUCUGAGCGGGAUCUCUGUCUCUAUGUCUUUGUUGUUAUUUAUUUAUUUCCCUGAUUAUUUCCUAUUGCUCUGUCCAUUCCAAUUUUUGGUCCCACUUUAUAUUAUGUGGCCUUAACUAAUAUGUACUUACAUUUAAAUUAAUCAUUUGAUACAAUGCACUUAUUGUGUACAUACAUGUUUUUACAUUGUACUUAUAUUUUUAAAAAUACCUAUAUGUAAUUACAUCUGUAAUUAAUUUCUGCAAUUAAAUUUAUAAUUACACUGUUGACCCAUCCCUUACACCUUCACCCACCCUUAAACCUACCCAUACCACCAAACCUGUCCCUAACCUUACCCGUAUCCCACCUCAAUAGCAGCAAAAGUGUUUUGCAAUACAAUAUGAACACAAUAAGUACGUUGUACUUAUUUUUUGAUGUAAGUACAUAGUUAAGGCCACCUAAUAUAA